GCAUGUCUAGUAUAAGCAUCUAUACUGUGAAACUGCGAAUGGCUCAUUAAAUCAGUUAUCGUUUAUUUGAUAGUACCUUUACCUGGAUAACCGUGGUAAUUCUAGAGCUAAUACAUGCUAAAAACCUCGACUUCGGAAGGGGUGUAUUUAUUAGAUAAAAAACCAAUGCCCUUCGGGGCUCCUUGGUGAUUCAUAAUAACUUAACGAAUCGCAUGGCCUUGCGCCGGCGAUGGUUCAUUCAAAUUUCUGCCCUAUCAACUUUCGAUUGUAAGAUAGUGGCUUACAAUGGUUUUAACGGGUAACGGGGAAUUAGGGUUCUAUUCCGGAGAGGGAGCCUGAGAAACGGCUACCACAUCCAAGGAAGGCAGCAGGCGCGCAAAUUACCCAAUCCCAAUACGGGGAGGUAGUGACAAUAAAUACUGAUACAGGGCUCUUUCGGGUCUUGUAAUUGGAAUGAGUACAAUCUAAAUCCCUUAACGAGGAACAAUUGGAGGGCAAGUCUGGUGCCAGCAGCCGCGGUAAUUCCAGCUCCAAUAGCGUAUAUUAAAGUUGUUGCAGUUAAAAAGCUCGUAGUUGAACCUUGGGCCUGACCGAUCUGUCCUCCUAAUCGAGCGCACGGAUUCGGUUGGGUCUUUCCUUCUGGGGAUCCCUAUGCCCUUCACUGGGCGUAGUGGGGAACCAGGACUUUUACCUUGAAAAAAUUAGAGUGUUCAAAGCAGGCAUUUGCUCGAAUACAUUAGCAUGGAAUAAUAGAAUAGGACAUCGGUUCUAUUUUGUUGGUUUCUAGGACCGCUGUAAUGAUUAAUAGGGAUAGUCGGGGGCGUCAGUAUUCAAUUGUCAGAGGUGAAAUUCUUGGAUUUAUUGAAGACUAACUAUUGCGAAAGCAUUCGCCAAGGAUGUUUUCAUUAAUCAGUGAACGAAAGUUAGGGGAUCGAAGACGAUCAGAUACCGUCGUAGUCUUAACCAUAAACUAUGCCGACUAGGGAUCGGACGGUGGUUUUUUAUGCCCCGUUCGGCACCUUACGAGAAAUCAAAGUUUUGGGCUCUGGGGG
rnacentral:rRNA from 1 species